UACGUAGGGUGCAAGCGUUGUCCGGAAUUAUUGGGCGUAAAGAGCUCGUAGGCGGUUUGUCGCGUCUGCUGUGAAAGACCGGGGCUCAACUCCGGUUCUGCAGUGGGUACGGGCAGACUAGAGUGCAGUAGGGGAGACUGGAAUUCCUGGUGUAGCGGUGAAAUGCGCAGAUAUCAGGAGGAACACCGGUGGCGAAGGCGGGUCUCUGGGCCGUAACUGACGCUGAGGAGCGAAAGCAUGGGGAGCGAACAGG
rnacentral:rRNA from 1 species